rnacentral:misc_RNA from 1 species
GAGAAGACUACAUAGUAGCACUCCCUAGUUAGAUGCACCAGAUAUAACCUCGGCAGGACAUAUCCCAUGGCGCGAGGAGUGGCUGCUCUGCUAUAUUUUGGAAGGCUGUUAUUUAUAUAUUGAGCUUCUAUCUGAUAUGUGAUGCCAUUAGUGUGUCUAGACUCUAGAGAAAAUUCAGGGUCUCCCUCUGUUGUCCACAAUCCAUAUGGGUUGGUGCGAUGUUAUUUAGAUUCAUUGCCAUCUCAUUUUCUUCGCUGUUCUUUAUGGUACCUAUCUCAUCCUCCAGAACUUUGUUUUCAUCAAUCAGCUGCUUUUCCUUGUCAUGAAGAUUCUUAAUUGAUUCAAUCAACAAGUGUGUCUUUCUAAAUCUGGUUUGUGUCAGAGCAGUCUCAACUUGGUUUUCCAGAUGGACAAGAUCAGUAAUGCUGAGAUCAUCAACAUCAGGCUCCUCGAGUUGCUUUUCUGCCGUCUGUAGCAGUUCUUCCAUUGUCAUGAAACUUGCAUAUUUUGAUUCCUCGGUGUCAUCGACUUCUGCAGAGGCCUUAUCUUCUGCUUUCAUGUGGUUGUUAUAUCGGUGAAUAACUCCUGUCAGACUGUUGGUACUGGAGAAUUCAAAGAGGCGUCCGCGACUGGAGAAGACGAGGACGGCGACAUCAACAUCGCAGAGAACAGAGAGCUGUUUAGCUUUCUUCAUGAGUCCAUUUCUCCGUUUGG